CCUACGGGUGACAGCAGUGAGGAAUAGUGGUCAAUGGCCGUAAGGCUGAACCAGCCAAGUCGCGUGAAGGAAGAAGGAUCUAUGGGUUGUAAACUUCGUUUAUAGGGGAAUAAAGGUAGCCACGUGUGGAUAUUUGCAUGUACCCUAUGAAUAAGCAUCGGCUAACGCCGUGCCAGCAGCCGCGGUAAUACGGAGGAUGCGAGCGUUAUCCGGAUUUAUUGGGGUGAAAGGGUGCGUAGGUUGUUUUUUAAGUCAGCGGUGAAAGUUUGUGGCUCAACCAUAAAAUUGCCGUUGAAACUGGCAGCCUUUCGUUUGUUUGAGGUCGGCGGCCUGCGUGGUGUAGCGGU
rnacentral:rRNA from 1 species